rnacentral:pre_miRNA from 1 species
CAGGAUCAGAGUCUCAGAAGGAAGUGCUCUUGAGGCAUCUCCACCAUGGCCUGGACUCUGAUCCUUCUCACCCUCCUCACUCAGGACACAGGUGA